GACGAACGCUGGCGGCGUGCCUAACACACGCAAGUCGAACGGAGUGUUUAUUUAUAAACACUUAGUGGCGAACGGGUGAGUAACGCGUAGACAACCUACCCUCUAGAUGGGGACAACACCGCGAAAGUGGUGCUAAUACCGAAUGUUGUAAUGUUAUUGCAUAAUGAUAUUACUAAAGGUGGCCUCUAUAUAUAAGCUACCGCUAGAAGAUGGGUCUGCGUCUGAUUAGCUAGUUGGUGAGAUAACAGCUCACCAAGGCAAUGAUCAGUAGCCGGUCUGAGAGGAUGAACGGCCACACUGGGACUGAGACACGGCCCAGACUCCUACGGGAGGCAGCAGUGGGGAAUCUUCCGCAAUGGGCGAAAGUCUGACGGAGCAACGCCGUGUGAGUGAAGAAGGUUUUCGGAUCGUAAAGCUCUGUCUUCAAGGACGAAUGUAGAUAUUGUGAAUAAUGAUAUUUAAUGACGGUACUUGAGGAGGAAGCCACGGCUAACUACGUGCCAGCCGCCGCGGUAA
rnacentral:rRNA from 1 species